UACGUAGGGUGCAAGCGUUGUCCGGAAUUAUUGGGCGUAAAGAGCUCGUAGGCGGUCUGUCGCGUCUGCUGUGAAAACUCGGGGCUUAACCCCGGGCCUGCAGUGGGUACGGGCAGACUAGAGUGCGGUAGGGGAGACUGGAAUUCCUGGUGUAGCGGUGAAAUGCGCAGAUAUCAGGAGGAACACCGGUGGCGAAGGCGGGUCUCUGGGCCGUAACUGACGCUGAGAAGCGAAAGCAUGGGGAGCGAACAGG
rnacentral:rRNA from 1 species